rnacentral:rRNA from 1 species
CAGCCGCGGUAAUACGUAGGUGGCAAGCGUUGUCCGGAAUUAUUGGGCGUAAAGGGCUCGCAGGCGGUUUCUUAAGUCUGAUGUGAAAGCCCCCGGCUCAACCGGGGAGGGUCAUUGGAAACUGGGAAACUUGAGUGCAGAAGAGGAGAGUGGAAUUCCACGUGUAGCGGUGAAAUGCGUAGAGAUGUGGAGGAACACCAGUGGCGAAGGCGACUCUCUGGUCCGUAACUGACGCUGAGGAGCGAAAGCGUGGGGAGCGAACAGGAUUAGAUACCCCGGUAGUCCCUGUCUCUUAUACACA